rnacentral:rRNA from 1 species
AUGGACGCAAGCCAUAAUCCCUUGCUUGCACUUGGAGUACUCAUCAUCCCAUUGGCCUACUUCAUCCUUGCGGCGCGCCUUCGAGCCGGCCCCAGGCCGCCGCCGGGGCCAUGGGCGCUCCCGUUGAUCGGUCACUUGCACCACAUGAUGGACAAGCUUCCGCACCAUAGGAUGCGCGACCUUGCCCGGCGGCAUGGCCCGAUGAUGCUACUCCGCCUCGGUGACCUGCCCAUCGUGGUUGCUUCGUCGGCAGAGGCAGCCCGCGAGGUCAUGAGGACACACGACGUGGCCUUCGCGACACGCCCCAUCAGCAUGAUCAAGCGAUUGACCCUUGUUGACGGCUCAGAGGGGCUCAUCUUUGCGCCCUACGGCAACGCCUGGAGGCAGCUGCGCAAAAUUUGCACCGUGGAGCUGCUUAGCGCCCGAUGCGUGCAGUCCUCGAGAAGCAUCCGAGAGCAGGAGGUCCAGCGCCUCCUCCAGGAGGUGUUGACGGCAACGGCAACACCCGGGGCGGCGAUGAACCUUAGCGCACUACUGUCAUCGUAUGUCAAUGACUCGACAGUGCGCGCCAUUAUAGGCAGCCGGUUCAAGGACCGGGAGACGUUCCUUCGGCUAAUGGGGGAAAGUAUGGAGCUAUUCUCGAGGCCCGGCUUGCCGGACCUCUAUCCAUCGUCACGCUUAGCGAUGCUCAUCAGCCGAAAACCACGCCUGAUGAAGCACCACCACCAUGAAAUGAUGGGUUUCAUGGAAACCAUCAUCCAGGAGCACCAAGUGCCACAAGGAGCCGCAGGUGACAAAGAGGAGGACUUGGUUGACGUGCUCUUGAGAAUCCAGAAAGAAGAUAACUCCUUGGAGUUCCCGCUCACCACACACACGAUCAAAGCCCUGAUGGCGGAUUUAUUUGUCGCAGGUAGUGAGACCUCAGCAACGAUGCUACAAUGGGCCAUGUCCGAGCUCAUGAAGAACCUGAGGGUGAUGCAAAAGGUGCAGGGAGAAGUUCGGCGAGUGCUCAAUGAGCAAGGCAAAGUGAUGGAGGAGAGCUUAAGGAAUAUACACUACUUACACCUAGUCAUCAAGGAGACUCUUCGGUUGCACCCGGCGCUGCCACUGCUACUACCACGGGAAUGCCGCUCGCCAUGCCAGGUACUCGGGUUCGACGUGCCAGUGGGGGCUACAGUUCUUGUGAACGCUUGGGCCAUCGGUAGGGAUCCGAUGCAUUGGGACAAGCCAGAGGAGUUCAUGCCAGAGAGGUUUGAAUUCAACACCGUUGACUUCAAGGGGGGAGACUUUGAGUACACACCAUUUGGGGCGGGACGAAGGAUGUGCCCCGGGAUGACGUUUGGGCUGGCCAAUAUGGAACUUGCGCUUGCUAGUAUCUUGUACCACUUUGAUUGGGAGCUGCCACACGGGAUGGCGGCGGUGGACCUGGAUAUGGCAGAGGUCGUCACAGUAACCUCACGACGGAAACAUGACCUUCUGGUGGUUCCCGUGGUUCGCAUGCCGAUAUAA